UACGUAGGGGGCAAGCGUUGUCCGGAUUUAUUGGGCGUAAAGAGCGUGUAGGCGGCCUGACAGGUCUGCUGUGAAAACUCGAGGCUCAACCUCGAGAUGUCGGCGGAAACCGUCUGGCUAGAGUCCGGAAGAGGAGAGUGGAAUUCCUGGUGUAGCGGUGAAAUGCGCAGAUAUCGGGAGGAACACCAACGGCGAAGGCAGCUUGCUGGGACGGUACUGACGCUGAGAUGCGAAAGCGUGGGGAGCAAACAGG
rnacentral:rRNA from 1 species